AUGAAUUGCAGACCAUGUCUUGCAUCAUGGACAGCUGAGGUGGUGGACAUGUUGUUUAGUGGUUACUGGCCAGGCACUGUCAAGUUUCAAACCAUAUACCAGGUAGACCUCUUUGCAUCGCUUGAGAUCACUGCACCUGGGCUUUCAAGACAAGCAUUUGUGAAAAUGUUACAACAGCGCUCACAACAAUUUGGAAGGAGUGGUAACAUUUGUGGCAACGUCUUCCAAAAAGCUUUCCUUGAAUGGACAUAUUGUCGUCAUAAAAGAGAAAAACUCUGCGGCAUUGAUCACUUCUCUUGCCCAGCUUGCACCCCAGAUACAGUUGCUGUGUCUGCAGAUGGAAACAGAAAACUAUACAGAUUCAGCAAAACAAAGGGGUAUAUUAUAACACUUACAUUUAAUCAUUUAGCAGAUGCUUUUAUCCGAAGAACAAUAGAAGCAAUCAGACCAACAAGAGGGCAACAGUAUACACGUGAUGUAACAAGUCUCAGUACACAUAGCAAGGUAUUAUUAUAUUUUUUUUUAAUCAGAAAAAUAAAUAAAUAUAAUAGUAUAGAAAAGAAAAGGUAAGUGCUAGUAUUAAUUGGUCAGGUGCUGAUGAAAAAGAUGUGUCUAGACAUCUUUUUGAAAUCAAUAUGUUAUUGAUAACAUUACUUUGUCCAUAUUUCUUUUGAAUAUUUUUUGUCAUUAACAUAUUUUCUUCCUGUAGGGCAGAGGAACAACCAUUUUUUGAUGGAGUUUUUCUGGCUAAUGACAAAGAUGUAGCAACAUUUGUUGAUUGUGUUCGUGAGAAGACCAUUCCAGUAAGAUAUUUGUCAAAAGAUUUGAGAUUGUACACAGUGAAUCAGGAUUUAGUUUGUGUAUAUAUUUGAUACUGUUACAGGUACAUGGAAAAGGCAUCUGUGGAACAUGAGCAUGGGCUGCAGCCAGGGAGACCUCUAAAAAGACAAACACUAAAUGUGAUGAAGAGGGCCUAGAGGUGGCAGUUUGCAGGCACAGCAUAUUAGGCUGAACAUGCCUAAUAAUUCAGCACUCCUGCAUAUAAGGAGUUUUUCACUUCCAGCCUUCAAAGACAAUUAUAUAUCACUCAUAAAUGAUUAAAUACCAAAUGUGUAGUAUUAUUUUUUUUAUGUCCCUAAAACUGACAGAAAAUGAUAAGGCCUAAGAGAAUUCUUAAGCUGUAAUGAUGAAAAAAAAAAAACAACACACAAUUACUGAUUUUUUUUUUCUUUUUCUUCUUUUUCUGGUGAUUAAAGAGAUAUUAACUCUCUCUCUCUCUCUCUCUCUCUCUCUCUCUCUCUCUGUCAGCCAGGCCCUCAACCACCCCCUCCCUCCCCCUCCCCCUCCCUUCCCUCACACAGAGAGAGUGGUCUCAGAGUGAGAUCAGAUGUCUGACAGUUUUUUAAUUUUCUGUUAUACAUACAGUGUUGUAAAAUCGUGAAACUAUGCAUAUUUCCUCAGAAUGAUAUGUUCUCUGUAUGAAAAAUGGUUUUGAAGUGUUUGCAAGCUGCAAUUUAAAAAAAAAACAAGACAAUUAAUGUUUCACUUUUUACUGUUUUUUCAAAAAAAUCACCAUGGCAAAACCGUUCAAGCUAUCCAAAAUCCAUUCGCAAUUUAAGUUCAUCAAUGUUUUGUCAUCAUGUAGAAAAAGUUUGGUGUGUAUAGUGUAAUUCUGCUCUGCGGAGUAUGCAUUAAUUCACAGCAAUAUUUUUCCAAAAAUCCACAUUUAAACCAAAAUAGCCGACUUCCUGUUGGUCAUAGCUGAUGACUGUAUGUUAGAAAGUUGUCCGUCUUGAUAAGAACAAUAUAUGUACCAUGUUUGGUGUCUGUAGCUAAAACUUACCCCCCCCCCCACUUUUGACAAAAGGUGGCACUAUAGAGUGCCUCCUCCACGCACUUUAAUGCGCUUUUGCCAUUGUCUAUCUGUCAUUAAUACUGAUAUGUUUUUUGAGUUUCAUGUAAUUCUGAGCAUGUUAUCUGCUUCAAAAUUACCAAAUUACCAAAAUUGCACUAAUUUCAACGCCUCACCAUGGGCAAACCGUUCGAGAUAUCAAAAAUCCCCUGGCAAUUUUGCAUCCCCAAUGUCUUGAGAUCAUCCUCAGAGGACUAUAUCAAAUUCCAGAGCAUGCUUUUUUUUAAACAGCCCUGAGCAGUGUGUGCCAAUUUUCAAGAGUUUUUGAGUAUGUUAAAGCCCCCAAAAACCCCCGGAAGGAUUAGGGAAAAAUAAAAAAAUAUAUAGCUGCA
ensembl:lncRNA